AGGACGAGCGCUGGCGGCGUGCUUAACACAUGCAAGUCGAGCGGUAAGGCCCUUCGGGGUACACGAGCGGCGAACGGGUGAGUAACACGUGAGCAAUCUGCCCUCCACAUCGGGAUAACCCCCGGAAACGGGAGCUAAUACCGGAUACGACCACUUCAGGCAUCUGAUGGUGGUGGAAAGUUCCGGCGGUGGAGGAUGAGCUCGCGGCCUAUCAGCUUGUUGGUGGGGUAAUGGCCCACCAAGGCUUCGACGGGUAGCCGGCCUGAGAGGGUGACCGGCCACGACUGGGACUGAGACACGGCCCAGACUCCUACGGGAGGCAGCAGUGGGGAAUAUUGGACAAUGGGCGAAAGCCUGAUCCAGCAACGCCGCGUGAGGGAUGACGGCCUUCGGUUGUAAACCUCUUUCAGCGCAGACGAAGCGAAAGUGACGGUAUGCGCAGAAGAAGCACCGGCCAACUACGUGCCAGCAGCCGC
rnacentral:rRNA from 1 species